AGUCUUCUUGCGUAUAUAUCGGUUGGGAUUGAGGACCGCAGCACGCCUUUAAUGGCCGGGGGUUCGCCCUACGUAUCGUGCUUAGGAUGUUGGCAUAAUGGCUUUAAGCGACCCGUCUUGUAACACGGACCAAGG
rnacentral:rRNA from 1 species